rnacentral:lncRNA from 1 species
GUGAGACUGGAGUUUCUCCACGGCUGCUGCAGGGUGGGGUCUGCAUAAGGCUGCAGGUCUCUACAGCCAAGAAUGCUGCAGUUCUUGAUGGUGGGCUUGGUAUGGACCCCAGCAGCUCACCAUCAAUUUCUUUUUCUUUCCAGGUUCUUAUCUUCUGAAUUUGAAGAAUGAAAUCCACAGAUCAAGAUGAGUGAGCGUAAGAGUAGGAUUUAUUGAAGAAUAGACACAGGAACAGAACACUUGCAGGGAAAGGGGGACCCAAGAGCAGUUUUUCUCCAUCAGAGUGUGCCAGUCUAUAGGUUUACAUAGCACUUGGGAUCCUGCUAAUGGUCCAAACUUAGGCUAAGUAGGGUUGGAAAAAAGUACCAGUGCUAUUGGUUCAAACUUGUGCUAAUUAGGAUUUGGAAAAGUGAGCUACUGGUCAACUCUUGAGUCCCCACUUCCAUUCAGGUCUGCCCAACUUCCACUUUCUCACUGCAGGUCAGGAGGUGGGAGGUUGAAGUUGUCAGAUGGUCUAUGCUUAUGGGUUUUGAGCUGCAGCACUGCACGGAAAGUGAGUCUGAAGUAGGUGUCCAUAUCAUGCCCAGGCCUGGCCAGCAAAGGCUGUGUGCCAUGGCUUGCAGGACUUCAGGACCACCCUGCCUGCCUGGUGGCUUCAAGAGGCAGCAGGGCAUGCUAGCUGCCUGGGCCCCAACUCACCCAGGCUGCCACUACACUGCUGCCCCUCAGGAGGAACUAGUAGGCCAGCUGUGUGGCUGCCAGGGCGCUGUGUCAGCAGGGGAAUUCUGCUACCCCGUGUUUAUGUCUCUUUUUGUCACUGGGCUAUGACCGUCCCAGGUGUUUCUCAGUUUUUUGACACUGUUAGGCAACAUAGGAAGGCUCGAGGAAGGUGGGGUGGGUAAUCUCUCUCCCUUAGCACUGCGCAAGUUUCUGGUGAAAUCUUUUUCCCUUGUGUUAUUGGCCUUUUUAUGAAGAGAUUCUGUUCUAAUUCAAAAUGGUCACUUGCCAGAAAUACUAGGGUUCCUCUUGGGUUUUUACUAUGAGAACCCGGUAGGGAUCCUGGAAUUAACAUUUAUGAAAAUGUGGGGUUCCCCUAAGACUGCGGCCCCCAAGAGCUUCUCCAUUCUUGCACUAGACUACACUCCAUGUUCAGCAAUUCUCGAAGUCCCUACAAGUCUAUGGCUCUGAUGGCUUUUGCUCCCAGGGAGCAGAUCUUACCUGCAUUCACCUAUUUCUGUACAUUUUAAGGUGAUGGUUUUCCUUGUGAUCUCAAUUCUCUGACAGGUUCAGGGAAAGUUUUUCAUAUUUGGUUUAUUCAAAAUUUUCCUUCUAUUGUGGGAGUGAUGACCAAGUUUUUCACAUGUUGGAGCUGAAACCAGAAAUCCUUCCGAUUUUUUUCACAUUCUAUCAUUUUAAAUACCAGGAAACUGAGGCUUGCUGUGGUUAAAGGAGUAGCUAGAGUCUUCAGCUCCUAAGCCAGCACUUUUCCCUUCGUCAUCUUGCUUCUUAACAUCUCAUUAAAGCAAUCUAGGGAACUGGCUUCAGAAAAAGCAUUUGAAAGCAUUCAGAAUCAACAAGUGGUACUAAACACUCAGGAUGUGUCAAUCACCAUGCUAGAAAUUCUCAUAAGGAAAUAUUUCUGAGUUGUGAAAUCUUAUCUUUCUGCAAGACAAAUCCUUACCUUAAGUACCUGAACUUUGCAGAUAAGGAAAUCAUGGCUCAGAGAUAUUUAAGGAGCUUGUCUUUGAUAUAAGAGCAAAUAACAAAUGGGGUUGGCAUUGAGUCUUCUCUCUGCAACUAACGGUUAUAUGACUUGGGCCAACUUAUUUAAAUUCUCUGAGCUAUACUGCACAAAAGAGGAUAGAAUACUAAUUACCACUCUAGAUAACUAAGAUACAAAUAGCACUUAUCAUGGCUCUAGUACCAAUUUGUUUAAAAAUUUAUAAUAUAGUAUAAUUUAUAUGUUAUUAUAGUAAUAACUAAUAAUUAUUAUGAGUGUUAUUAUAAUUAAUAUGAUAUAUAUUGAUAUGUUACUAAAAAUAGAUGAGGGUUACAAUAUCAAAUCAUGGAAAUAAACUUUAUUAUAUGGCCCCUCAUGAAUAGAGUGCAAAACUGCAUGAAUCAUAAAUGUGUUCAGAGUUCUCAGCAGGGCUGGUAGGUCCCACAUAAUCUUAGGUGCCAAGAGAAAUAGUUUAAGAGCUGGAUGAGCUUUUAGGCCAGCAUUUGUGGAAAUAUGUCCAUCAAAAUCCAGCCCAAAGACAUUAAAUUGGUUAGUACAUUUGGUCAGCUUUUAAAAAAAUAUUGUUCAGGAAGAGUACAAUAACAAAAACAGUGUUAGAAUAAGCUCUUGGUGCUUUGAGAACCGUUUCCAACUCAAAUGGUUGC